AUUAAGAGGGCCAAGCACAUGCUUACAAUCUAACGAUGCUGAUUGUACAGUGGGCGAGUUUCCUUCAGAACCCUGCAAAGAUACCAGUUAGUGUGUUCGAAUAGUUUUUUAUUUUUUAUUAGUAUGCCCUUUACAUCGACUUAAACAAGUUAUUAUAGAUUUGCCAGGUCAGGAUAAACUUGGUUUUGUUGUCUUUUUGCAACAUGGAUUCCAG